AAUACAUCUAUUCCUAAUUCUGAUCAAAAGAGAAUACUAAUCAUUUUGCUCAAAUUGUAUUUUUCUAUCCUAUUCCACCCACUUCUCUAAACCCCUCUCUCCUUUUAGGACCUGGCCCGAGAUCUAGCAUUCCUAUGAAUCUACUCAUGAACACCUCACUCUUUGCUGAUUCCUCUUUCCCCUGAAUUCCUCUGGUUUCCUCCCAUUUCUUCCAAAAUAAAUAAAUAAAUAAAUAAAUAAAAUAAAUUACCAUUUGUAUCAAGGCAAAAGUUUAUUCCUCUUUCACAGUGAAACUAGAAAUCAAGCUAAAAUGGAUGAAACACAUCUUCUGGGAAAGUGCUCAUUCUAAGGAAGAGUAAGUAAAUGACUUUCUAAAGACAUUUCAGAAUCCAUUGUCCUAGUCAAGGUCCUUAGAUGAUAGAACUGAAAGUCUACCUGUAACUAAAGAUGAAACCCAUUCACUGAGCUCUAAUAAAUGCUCCUCAACCAGUACCCCAUUUAGUUUUUAUGUAUCUUCGGUGCUGCAAUAUUAGUGACUUCAGUUCUGCUCCCUUGCUUUCUUUGUGACUAAUCUCACAGUCGCAUCAACUAGUUGAGUAACCUCUUUUGCAGACUCUUAAACUCUCUAGGCUUCAAUUUCCCUGUCUAUAAAAUUAGUGGGUUGACCAGAUGUAUUCUGAGCUCAGACUGGACCUGUGGAUCAGCUUUGUUUUCCUCCUAGGCUUACACUUCAAACCUAUGCUUUCCUACUCAAUCAGUUAUCUACCUAAAUAUCAGAAUGGACAUUAUAUUCUGUCAUUGUUUUGUGCUUAUUACUACGUGGUGCUUGUGCAACCCACGUCCUGUUGGCAGACAAGUGAUUAUUAAGACACUUUUCAAAUGCCAAGGAGAAAGUGACUCUACCAACUAAAGAGAUUUAAAAAUGUUUCCCCAA